AGAGUUUGAUCCUGGCUCAGGACGAACGCUGGCGGCGUGCUUAACACAUGCAAGUCGAACGAGAAUCUGUGGAAAGAGGAUUCGUCCAAUUGAAGCAGAGGACAGUGGCGGACGGGUGAGUAACGCGUGAGGAACCUGCCUUUCAGAGGGGGACAACAGUUGGAAACGACUGCUAAUACCGCAUGACACAUAGGUGUCGCAUGGCACUUAUGUCAAAGAUUUAUCGCUGAAAGAUGGCCUCGCGUCUGAUUAGCUAGUUGGUGAGGUAACGGCCCACCAAGGCGACGAUCAGUAGCCGGACUGAGAGGUUGAACGGCCACAUUGGGACUGAGAUACGGCCCAGACUCCUACGGGAGGCAGCAGUGGGGAAUAUUGGGCAAUGGGCGCAAGCCUGACCCAGCAACGCCGCGUGAAGGAAGAAGGCUUUCGGGUUGUAAACUUCUUUUGUCAGGGACGAGUAGAAGACGGUACCUGACGAAUAAGCCACGGCUAACUACGUGCCAGCAGCCGCGGUAAUACGUAGGUGGCAAGCGUUGUCCGGAUUUACUGGGUGUAAAGGGCGUGUAGCCGGGAGGGCAAGUCAGAUGUGAAAUCCACGGGCUCAACUCGUGAACUGCAUUUGAAACUACUCUUCUUGAGUAUCGGAGAGGCAAUCGGAAUUCCUAGUGUAGCGGUGAAAUGCGUAGAUAUUAGGAGGAACACCAGUGGCGAAGGCGGAUUGCUGGACGACAACUGACGGUGAGGCGCGAAAGCGUGGGGAGCAAACAGGAUUAGAUACCCUGGUAGUCCACGCUGUAAACGAUGAAUACUAGGUGUGCGGGGACUGACCCCCUGCGUGCCGCAGCUAACGCAAUAAGUAUUCCACCUGGGGAGUACGAUCGCAAGGUUGAAACUCAAAGGAAUUGACGGGGGCCCGCACAAGCGGUGGAUUAUGUGGUUUAAUUCGAAGCAACGCGAAGAACCUUACCAGGGCUUGACAUCCUACUAACGAGAUAGAGAUAUGUUAGGUGCCCUUCGGGGAAAGUAGAGACAGGUGGUGCAUGGUUGUCGUCAGCUCGUGUCGUGAGAUGUUGGGUUAAGUCCCGCAACGAGCGCAACC
rnacentral:rRNA from 1 species